GGUGUAGCGCAGUUGGUAGCGCGCCUGCUUUGGGAGCAGGAUGCCGUGGGUUCAAGUCCCGCCAC
rnacentral:tRNA from 1 species